AGGUGUUAUUAGGGUGCAAUAUCCUUGCUGUUUCUCAGAUUUAUUAGCUUAGUUUUCUGAAGAUUCACCUGUGCAUUCAACGUUCGUUAUUCCUUGGUAUCGAAAUCCACACCAGGGGAAUCUCAUUUGCAGAGGAUUUCUAUGGCUUCAACAAUGCUUUCUUUAGCUUCUACCACUCCUUCUGCUUCACUUUCUAUGCAAGAAAUUCUCAAGUCUCGUACAUGAUAAAAAAGGAGAACAAAGGGAGAGAGGAGAAGAAGGCAAGGAUGAUGAGAUUGGGAUUUCUGAAGGGGGUUUUGAGGGAUUCUUUGAGCAAGUCGAAGAACCCUAGCUGCUUCUCUUCCAUCAUGGUUUUUCUGGUAAAUGAUUUAAUGUAUAUUGUCAAAUCCUCACGGGCUAGGUUUCAUUGCUAUGAUGGUUAGUGAGAAAAUGAACUUGUAUUGUGAAAUGACUCCAAUGAAUUUCAGCAACACUCUUUUUCUUUUUUCUUUUUUUCUUUUUUUUUUUGCUGGGGAGGGCUAAUGUCAACAUAUUCUCCCGUCUUACUCUUUUGAAUAUCAAUUAUUAGAGGUC